rnacentral:rRNA from 1 species
GUCUACAGCCACGCCACCCUGAACAAGCCCGAUCCCGUCUGAUCUACGAAGCUAAGCACGGUCGGGCCUGGUUAGUACUUGGAUGGGAGACCACCUAGGAAGACCAGGUGCUGUAGGCA